rnacentral:rRNA from 1 species
CCUGGCGGCCAUAGCGCCGUGGAACCACCUGAUCCCAUGCCGAACUCAGAAGUGA